rnacentral:rRNA from 1 species
CAGCAGCCGCGGGAAUACGUAGGGUGCGAGCGUUAAUCGGAAUUACUGGGCGUAAAGCGUGCGCAGGCGGUUUUGUAAGACAGGCGUGAAAUCCCCGGGCUCAACCUGGGAAUGGCGCUUGUGACUGCAAAGCUAGAGUGCGGCAGAGGGGGAUGGAAUUCCGCGUGUAGCAGUGAAAUGCGUAGAUAUGCGGAGGAACACCGAUGGCGAAGGCAAUCCCCUGGGCCUGCACUGACGCCCAUGCACGAAGGCGUGGGGAGCAAACAGGAUUAGAUACCCGCGUAGUCCCUGUCUCUUAUAC